GAUGAAGAACGUAGCGAAAUGCGAUAAGUAAUGUGAAUUGCAGAAUUCAGUGAAUCAUCGAAUCUUUGAACGCACAUUGCGCCCGCCAGUAUUCUGGCGGGCAUGCCUGUUCGAGCGUCAUUUCAACCAUCAAGCCCCAGGCUUGUGUUGGGGACCUGCGGCUGCCGCAGGCCCUGAAAACCAGUGGCGGGCUUGCUGUCACACCGGGCGUAGUAGAUUUUAUCUCGCUCAGGGCGUGCUGCGGGUUCCGGCCGUUAAAAAGCCUUUUUACCCAAGGUUGACCUCGGAUCAGGUAGGAAUACCCGCUGAACUUAAGCAUAUCAAUAAGCGGAGGA
rnacentral:misc_RNA from 1 species